rnacentral:rRNA from 1 species
GAUGAACGCUGGCGGCGUGCCUAAUACAUGCAAGUCGAGCGAACAGACGAGGAUCUUGCUCCUCUCACGUUAGCGGCGGACGGGUGAGUCACACGUGGAUAACCUACCUAUAAGACUGGGAUAACUUCGGGAAACCGGCGCUAAUACCGGAUAAUCUACUGCACCGCAUGGUUCAAUAGUGAAAGUCGGUUUUGCUGUCACUUAUAGCUGGAUCCGCGCCGCAUUAGCUAGUUGGUAAGGUAACGGCCUACCAAGGCAACGAUGCGUAGCCGACCUGAGAGGGUGAUCGGCCACACUGGAACUGGGACACGGACCAGACUACUACGGGAGGCAGCAGUAGGGAAUCUGACGCAAUGGGCGAAAGCUUGACGGAGCAACGCCGAGUGAGUGAUGAAGAUCUUCGGAUCGUAAAGCUCUGUUAUUAGGGAAGAACAGAUGUGUAAGUAACUAUGCACGUAUUGACGGUACCUAAUCAGAAAGCCACGGCUAACUACGUG